CUAUGUUUUCAGGACUCUCUUAUUUAAAUGAUCCAGAAACACUGCGAGUAUGAGCAAAGAGGCAGUGUGACAAUGCUGACUUGAGGCACACAUGGCAAGGGCAGGCAGGGAGCCAGCCAGCUCUCUAAAGGCAGGGGAGACAGCCCCACUUGUGCCCGAAGCAGCUCUCCUUGCUAUUCCUGUCACGGGCCGCUCCGCAGAGCCUCUGCCAGCCCACGGAGGAGGGCACAGGCACAUGAUAAGGAUAAGCAGGAACUGGAACAAGAUGGCACUGAAUUAAUUUCCCUUUGCAUGACCUAUGCACCAGAUUUUCUGGCAUCUCAAAAGGCACAAAAAGAAACCCAACGGAGUAAGCAGGGCCCUGUGUCAGCAAAACACUUCAUUUCUCAACUGAAACGCUCAGGCUGGCAGAGCUGCAAAGAGUGCACAAAGAAGAUGUGAAAGAUGUCAUUUCUGCUCUCAAAAAAUCAAUACAGGGAGAGGGAGUCCGUUGGUUUAUUACCGGGCAAUGCUUUUAUUAUGGAACACUUUGUGGAUGACCGAACAGCAAAUAUGACGACAUCGUCACAAACAUCAAGAAAGUAGAAACUGAACAAGAAAAGGAUUUAUCUUCAGUUUGCCUAAUGUCACCUUUAUUCUUGGUGAAAUUGUCCCUCUGUAGAAGGGGUGAGCAAAGAAAGAUGCAUCACAUAUACCUGCUGAUCUUCUGUACAGAAUUAAGUUUCUCGUCCUUAAGCAGAACUGAACAACUUUUCAUACUUUAAUAAAAAGGAUGAUUUGUACCUUCA